ACGAGACGAGAGAGAGGGAGAGGCGAAGGCGGCGACGAUGGCGUGGAGGCGGCUGGCGAAGGAGGCGACCGCGGAGUAUCCCCGUCGGGGCGCCGGCUUAGCAGCCUCCCCUCGCCUCACCGCCCCCGCGCGCGCCUUCUCCGCCGCUCCACCCGCGGCAAACCCCGCCGGUGAGUUUCGCGUGUUCGGGCUGUUCCUGUCGCCGAUGGCCAGGCGCGCGGGCGCGUUCGGGGUCCCGUCGGCUGCUGGGAGGAAUGGGGCGCAGAGCGUUUCGUCGCGAUGCUCGGGCACGGCGUUUCGAGCUGGUGUCCCCAGCUAUGGAGGUUUACUCGCGGGGAGGAUGGCUCGUGGAUUCUACCCGCAGCUAUCAGGUCACAAGCUGCUAAAGGGACUUGGGACAGGAUCCGCCUUUGUUGCGACGCUUUGUUCACAGAAGAUUGCAUAUGCUGAUGAACAACCAUCAGAAGAUAUCGUCAGGCCCUCAGCAAAACAUCAGAUUACCAAAUUAUGCCCCUUGAUCAGGAAAUAUCAGCUGCCUGUUGGUGUGAUUGCUUUGAUCGCACUUGGUUGGCAGAAUCCACUAGGUCUUCUCAUCAACAUAUUGCUUAUUCUCUAUAGUUCAACACCCAACCCGUAUUCAAUAUACUUGUUUCUUCAGGAGAUUCGUCAUGGAGAGACGCAUCAACAUCCUGCAUCAUGGACAGAGGAGGCUGUGCUUACAAGGAAAGUUGAUGCUAAAGAUUACAAGUUCUUCUCCAUUGGAACAGUUGAAACAGCAGACAGAAAAGUACUGCAUGUCAUUGGAAUUCUGGGCAGCUGGUGGAUCUAUCGUUCCUCAUAUGGGAAGUGAGAGGGGUUGGCAGAGAAUCACAUAUUCUGAGGAAUGGGUCUUACUAGUGUACAUAAGUCGGAAUAUUUCAAUAAUUUCUUAUUGACGGUUGAUGCUCUUGGAAAAAUGAAUUAAGCUGAGAACGGCUGCAGUUCAUUGCCGACGGCAUACUGGAUCUAUAGACAGGGUGUGCCUCCAUCACCAAUCUUAUUCUCUUUGUUCAGCUUGUGAGAAUUAUAGCCUACUGCCAAUUUUUAUGCCAAUAAUAUGGCAACCAGAUAUUCAAUCCAUUGCCAUUGUCCUUCAUAUGUAUAGGAAGCAUUUCAUUUUGUCUCUUAUAUGGCUUUUGAGAUGCUCCUUCUUUUGGUCAAGAUCAGUAUCAAUCACGAAUGUUCCCUUGCCCACUACCUUCGGGCCAUGGCUUGCAGAACCUCACUCCUUUUGCUUGGCAUCAUGAUCUUGAUCUCGUGCGUGCUUUGGUACUCAUCUGCUUCAUGGGAAGCUGCAGUCAGGUGUAGGAUGUUUCCUGGGAAACAAAGUGAUGCUACAGAAUCAGGUAAAGCGACAAGGGAGGAUGAUUGGUUCAACAAUGGGAAUGGAAUUUUAGAAAACGUAGGGCAAGACAAGUUCAUUCUUGCCUCCCUCUCCUCCCUUUAUUCCUUUUUUUUUUUACUGAAGUAGGUUAUCUUGGUAUUUUCAGUUGCAGGUCCUGAUAUCUAUUUAAGGAUCUGACCAAUAACUGCACACCAUAGCUGAAACUUCAUUGUAUUUCCUAGGUAUACUAGUUAGGGAACAGAACCUGUUUGUGUCGUGUACAGAUAGAUGGG